ensembl:lncRNA
GGCGGGAGGCACCCAGAGAGCAUGCUGCAGAGGGCAGGAGCAUCUCGUGUGCUGUCAYGUUCGAAUUUCCCACGUCACACCCACGCCACGUUCAAAUCACCCAGGUCACACCCACGUCACGUUCAAAUUUCCCAUGUCACACCUACGUCACUUUCGAAUCUCCCACGCCACACCCACGUCCCUUUCGAACCACCCACGUCACACCCACAUCACGUUCGAAUCACCCACGUCACACCCAUGUCACACCCACGUCACCUUCGAUUCUCCCAUGUCACACGCACGUCACACCCACGUCACAUUCGAAUCACCCACGCCACACCCACGUCACAUUCGAAUCUCCCACGUCACACCCACGUCACGUUCGAAUCUCCCACGUCACACCUACCUCGCCUUCGAAGCACAUAUGGAACAAGCAUGCUCCUCCCUUGCAACAGCCUCACAGUGCUAGUGCCAAGGUGUGAGGACACCUGGUGUAGGCUUGGGGAGGGGAGGCAAGGGAGCCGGGCACUCGUGGUGGGGCUGCCCUAGGCAUGCGGAGGCAAGCUCUGCCUUCCCAGUGCUCUUGCCUCUGAGCCCUGCUUGGUGGGGGAGCAUUUGCAGCAGCGUGGCACACCCACGUCACUUUCGAACCACUCACGUCACACCCACAUCACGUUCCGAUUACCCACGUCACACCCACGUCACCUUCGAAUUUCCAUGUCACACCCACAUCACAUUUGAAUCUCCCACGUCACACCCACGUCACCUUCGAUUUGCCCACGUCACACCCAUGUCACAUUCGAAUUACCCACGUCACACCCACGUCACGUUUCAUUUUCCACGUCACACGCACUUCACCUUUGAACCUCCCACGUCACAUCCUAAGCGGUGUGCUUGGCGGUGACAGYACGCGGAGCUUUGCUCAGAGGCAAGGCGGCGAAGGGAGAUGGCGCUUUGCUAGGUGGCGAGUCUUCAAAGGCACUCAGUGCUUUGCUAGGUGGAGAGGGUGAAAAGGGAUGCAGCAGUGUGCUAGGCUGCGAGGUGGUGAAUGCAUGCAGUGCUUUGCUAGGUGCUGAAGGAAAAUGGCGCUUUCCUUUGUGGUGACUGGAGGUGGAAUUUUGCUAGGCAGCGAAGGGACACGGCGCUUUGCUAGGUGGCGAGGCAGCGGAGGGACACGGAGCUUUUCUAUGUGGUGACGGGAGGCGGAGCUUUGCUAGGAGUUGAGGGGAGAAAGGGAAGCAGCGGUGUGCUAGGCAGCGAGGCGCCGACGCACCAACACGAUGAAGGGAUACGGCGCUCUGCUAGCCGGCAAGGAGGCCAACGCACACAGUGCUUUGCUAGGUGCCGAAAGAACAUGGCGCUUUACUUGGUGGCGACAGAACGCAGAGCUUUGCUAGGCAGCGAAGUGACUCGAUGCUUUGUUAGGCAGCGAGGGGGAGAAGGGACACAUUGCUUAGAUAAGUGGUGAGGCUGUGAAGGGACACGAUGCCUUGCUAGGCGGUGAAUGGACUCGGCACUCUGCCAGGCGGCGAAGGGACUCGGCGCUGUG